GCCCCUGUUGCCCAAUGGAUAGGGCACUGGCCUCCGGCGUCAGUCUUACAGGUUCGACUCCUGUCAGGGGCA
rnacentral:tRNA from 1 species